CCGAGUACAAGCUCGGGGGCUGGGGGUGGGGGUGGCCACAACCCCGAGACACGUCAUCCGGGGGCGGGGUCAGGACUCCAGGGGAGAGGGAAGUUGGCGGUCACGGCUGCCCCGCGGCGCCGCAGAGCCAGAAAGAGGCCGCUGAGGUCACCGCGCGGGUGGUGGAGAGAGUGUAGACACCUCAAGGGAGCCUUGUGGCCGGGAAGAGAGAAGGCCCCGGAUGGAGGGCAAGCGAGAGGAGCCCGAGUGGGGCGGGGGAGCUGGCCUAGGCGGGGCUGCCCACCGCCCGACCUGCCCCGCGUGGGAGGGGCCCGGCGCUCCCUGACUCGGGCUGUCCCUCCACCUCGGGAGCAGGCUGCUCUUCCCUUUCCCAGGAAGCCGCUCCUUGCCGCGCCCCUGCCUGGCGAUGGGAGGAGCCCCUCCAGCACCCAUUCAUUCCUAACCCAGUCCGUGGAUGGCCCUGGCUCAACUGGGCUGCCCUCCUUUGGGGUUUCUCUGCAGCUGUGAUCCUGUGGCAGCUGGGGCUGAAAUCUGAGGAAGGCUGAAUGAGGUUGCAUGUCCAGGGUGGCUUCCUGUGGCUGGCACCUCAGGUGGGUUGCUGGAGGGGCCGUCCUGCCUGGCCACCUCACUGUUUGUGGCCUGUCCGUGUGGCUGCCUGGGCUUCCUCGCAGCAUGGUGGUCUUGAGGCGUGCUGGGGUUCUUCCACGGCAGCCAGCUGUCCGGCACACAGCCACAGACCGGGCUUCUCGUGACCCAGCCUCGGGUGUCGGGCAGCGUCAUUCCCACUGCAGCCUGUGGAUCAGAAAGAAAGUCGGGCCACCCAGAUUCCUGGAGAGCGGGCACUGGGAGGCAUGGUUCACAGGGGCUGCCACGGACUAGCCGUCACCACCUCAUAAUUCUGUAGGGGUUUGUGCUUCCCAGCCUUGGCCUGGCCACCUGGGGUCCAGAGGGACCUCCGCCAGAGCCCGUCCCAGAAGCUGGCCUCCCACUGCCAAUGGCCAGGUGGGCCUCUUUCUCCACACAUGCAGGGCCCUGGGGUGCACGCCAUCCCUGGAGUUCUUGCCAGAGAAAUGAGGCCGUGGAGCCGCCUGCUCCCAGCCCUGGGAAGCCCCAGCUGGGGGUUUCGGGGACACGGCAGCUUCUCCACAGAACACAGAUUCCCUCAUGUUGGGGAGAAGGUAACCUCCUCACACUGAUGCAAGCGGAGGUGCCUUGAGGGCUGGAUUACAGCAUGUGCCUUCAGGACAUCAGCAAGGUGCCACCCCUGCGGAAAAGGUCCUCGAAAAGUUACACAUAGGGAUGCCCUACGGCCAUUCCUAGGUGUGCCCCCCAAGGGAUCAAAAACGGACUUCAACAGACUCUUGUGCCAGCAGCACGUUCAUAAUGGCCAAAAGGUGGAGGAGCCGAGUGGCCAUCCACAGAUGAAUUGAUGAACAGAAUGUGGUCAAGUCACACAGUAGGACAACAUUCAGCCAUAAAAAGAGUGAAAUUCGGACAUGCUACAAUGUGGAUGAACUUUAAUGUAAUGCUGCAUGAAAGAAGCCAGACGUAGGAAGCCGUGUAUUGGCUGAGUCCACUCGUACACACAGACCCAGAACAGGAAGUCUAUAGGGGCGGGAAGUAGAUGAGGGGCUGCCAGGGAGGGGGGAGACAGUGCCGAGAGACUGCUAAUGGGGACAGGGCUUCUUUAUGGGGUGUUGGAAAUGUUCUGGAACUAGAUAGAGGCCAUGGUUGUACAUUAUGAAUGCCACUAAAGUGUACGUGGUAAAAUGGUUAAUGUUAUGUGAGUUUCAGUUCAAUUAUUUUUAAAAAGGAAAAAUAUAUCAGUGAGACUGUUCAGGAACAUUCCAUGCUGGCCAUGGCCACCCAGCCCCAUCUCCCACACAUGCUGGGGCCCUUCCUCUUAGGCCAGAACCAGGCCAUGCCACCUACCAUGGACCUGGGGACAGCAUGGGAGCACGGGGUGAGUUUCUGGAGAAGCCUGGGUCUUGCUGUUUUCCUGGAGGGCCUACUGUGUGCCGGUGACUUGAAAUUGGGGCUGCACAGUCAGAGGGGCUAGAAUAAGUACACCAGGUGUGGAGGAGGGCCUGGGCUGUGAGGCAGCCUAAGCAAGGGGGUGACAGUCACAGAGAUGUCAGGGACCCACAGAAAGGAGGAGGACCUGUGGAAAAGAAUAGGUGCCGCA